GACGAACGCUGGCGGCGUGCUUAACACAUGCAAGUCGAACGGAAAGGCCCUGCUUUUGUGGGUUGCUCGUGUGGCGAACGGGUGAGUAACACGUGAGUAACCUGCCCUUGACUUUGGGAUAACUUCAGGAAACUGGGGCUAAUACCGGGUAGGAGCUCCUGCUGCAUGGUGGGGGUUGGAAAGUUUCGGCGGUUGGGGAUGGUCUCGCGGCUUAUCAGCUUGUUGGUGGGGUAGUGGCUUACCAAGUGUUUGAGGGGUAGGCGGCCUGAGAGGGUGACCGGCCACCUGGGGACUGAGAGACGGCCCAGACUGCAACGGGAGGCAGCAGUGGGGAGUAUGACACAAUGGGCGGAAGCCUGAUACAGCAACGUCGCGUGCGUGAUGCCCGCCUACGGGUUGUAAACCGAUGUCGAAUGUGACGAAGAGUGAUUGACGGUAAUGGGUAAGGAAGCACCGGCUAACUACGUG
rnacentral:rRNA from 1 species